rnacentral:rRNA from 1 species
GAUGAACGCUGGCGGCGUGCUUAACACAUGCAAGUCGAACGGAAAGGCCCUGAGUUUGUGGGGUGCUCGAGUGGGGAACGGGUGAGUGACACGUGUGUAACCUGUACCUGUCAGUGUGGUAACACCACGAAACUGGGGCGAUUAUCGGAUAUGAGCUAUUGCUGCGUGGGGGUGGAUGGUGAAAGUCGGCGGUGGGGGCUGGACUCGCUGCUUACGAGCCUGUUUGGGGGGUAGUGGUUUACAAAGGCUAUGACGGGUAGGCGGCCUGAGAGGGUUACCGGCCACAUGGGGACUGAGAUACGGCGCAGAAUCCUACGGGAGGCAGCAGUGGGGAACAUUGCACAAUGGGCGGAAGCCUGAUGUAGAAACGCCGCGUGCGGGAUGACGGCCUUCGGGUUGUAAACCGCUUUCGCCUGUGACGAAGCGUGAGUGACGGUAAUGAGUAAAGAAGCACCGGCUAACUACGUG